UGGCUCUGGCAUCGAUGAAGAACGCAGCGAAAUGCGAUAAGUAAUGUGAAUUGCAGAAUUCAGUGAACCAUCGAAUCUUUGAACGCACAUUGCGCCCGCCAGCACUCUGGCGGGCAUGCCUGUUCGAGCGUCAUUACAACCCUCAGGCCCCCCCGGGGGCCUGGCGCUGGGGGACGGCCCCGGCCGCCCCCGAAACGCAGUGGCGACCCCGCCGCAGCCUCCCCUGCGCAGUAGCACACACCUCGCACCGGAGCGCGGAGACGGUCACGCCGUUAAACGCCCCCAACUCCAAGAGUUGACCUCGGAUCAGGUAGGGAUACCCGCUGA
rnacentral:misc_RNA from 1 species